rnacentral:lncRNA from 1 species
GAUUCUAAUAUUGUCCUUCCCUAGAACGAACAUCCACCGCCCCCCUCUCUUUCCUUUUCAAAAGGCAUAAGUGAACAUGACCUUUAUAAUAAAGAAUGUAACAGCUUACUUCUGGAAAUAAACUGGGGCAGUCCACAAUAUGUCGAGCAAGAUUAAUUGCAGCAGGUGAAGUUGGUGCCUCCCUCAUGGUGAUAUUAUUGAAAUAGAAAGCAGCCAAAUUAUCAACAGCAGAUGCACACUGAUACAUUUUCAGAUAUUUUAGCUUCAAGAAAUGAGAAUUGAGACCAGAAGCACAAAACAAAUACAACACAUUCAAGAUUAAAACCAGGCUGCAGGAUAUUAUGCUCAAACAAGAUGUUUAUAAUAUCCCUAAUGCAAAAAAUAUAGAUGUAUCUAGUUAAGAAGAAUAAGAACCAGCCGUAGCAUUAGAAAAAUACCUGUGAUGAGAUAUUUGUAUCCAGGCCUUUAAGACCAGAUUCUAGAGAACCAACUAUAUGCAUGAAGGUGUUUGUGUCCAAAUUCAAUAAAAAAAUAAAAUGGCUGCUGAACAGAACCUCCAAGAAUGCAAAGUAUGCCCUUGUCAACUGGAAAAAGGAAGAAGAGAACUGUAACUUGCCAUUACAAGAUGAUAAACGAAAUAAUAAUGGCAACGUCCUACAAUUGUACAGUAACCUAAAGAAGGGAAAAAAGGUUCCAUAAGUGAAAAAAGGUUCCAGAAGUUUGCCUAAUAUAUACCCCACUCUCCUGUUCCUGAAAUCAAACACUUUGUUCCUUGAAGUUUAUAAAAAUAAAUAUCAAGUCCCCUAUUGGCUAAAAACAAAAACAUUUACGGUUUAUCAAAUGGCUGUAGAAGUUUUAGAUAAUUCAAAGACCAAACAGUUUGAUUUUGAAAAGAGGGGACAGAGGAGUAUAAAGCAAGGUUUUCAAACCAACCCUCCUUUGCACAUAAUACACCUAGUGGAUGUUGAAGAAGCACUUCAGACCCUAUUCCAUCAUGGUCACCAAACUGCAAAAUUAAGUAUUGAGGGAUGAGUCAAUGAUUGUUGGUUGAAAAAGAUUAAAUCUUGCUAAGCAAUAAACUUUAAGAAUCUCCACUAAUAGCUUUAUAUAGAAUAUACUUAUUUUGAAAUUAAAACGUUAUACAUGAUGCAAAUGGUUUAUUAGUUUCAAAACGAAUUACCUUAAACAAGUUGUCAGAAAAUUGGAUCACCACCAGCUAGCAGCCUUGAUCCUCCUGUUUUCAGAUCAAGGGCUCGAAUGGAGCUACUUUCACUAUCAGCAACAUAAAUCUCCUUCAAAUCUAUGAAUAAGCAAUGAAGUAAAAUUAUCAUUAUAUAUAGCAGUACAACAUUCCACAAUGAUUUGCAAAUUUCAAAGAAAGUUACACUGUUUGUCAAAAUAAUCCAAAAUGUUACCAGGAGAUAGUGAAAUUCCAGAAGGUUGUGCAAAUGACGUGCUAGUGGAGCUAUUUCAAAAUAAAAC